UACGUAGGGUGCGAGCGUUGUCCGGAAUUACUGGGCGUAAAGAGCUCGUAGGUGGUUUGUCGCGUUGUCCGUGAAAACUCACAACUCAAUUGUGGGCGUGCGGGCGAUACGGGCAGACUGGAGUACUGCAGGGGAGACUGGAAUUCCUGGUGUAGCGGUGGAAUGCGCAGGAUAUCAGGAGGAACACCGGUGGCGAAGGCGGUUCUCUGGGCAUGAUCUGACGCUGAGACGCGAAGGCCAGGGUAGCGAACGGG
rnacentral:rRNA from 1 species